AAUAGAUACCCCGGUAGUCCAUGCCGUAAACGUUGGGAACUAGAUGUAGGGCCUGUUCCACGGGUUCUGUGUCGUAGCUAACGCAUUAAGUUCCCCGCCUGGGGAGUACGGCCGCAAGGCUAAAACUCAAAGGAAUUGACGGGGGCCCGCACAAGCGGCGGAGCAUGCGGAUUAAUUCGAUGCAACGCGAAGAACCUUACCAAGGCUUGACAUAUACCAGAACACUGCAGAAAUGUAGGACUCUUUGGACACUGGUAUACAGGUGGUGCAUGGUUGUCGUCAGCUCGUGUCGUGAGAUGUUCGGUUAAGUCCGGCAACGAGCGCAACCCUCGUCCUAUGUUGCCAGCGGUUCGGCCGGGGACUCAUGGGAUACUGCCGUGGUCAACACGGAGGAAGGUGGGGAUGACGUCAAAUCAUCAUGCCCCUUAUGUCUUGGGCUUCACGCAUGCUACAAUGGCCGGUACAAAGGGCGCGAUCCGUAAGGUGGAGCGAAUCCCAAAAAGCCGGUCUCAGUUCGGAUUGGGGUCUGCAACUCGACCCC
rnacentral:rRNA from 1 species